UCUCGAUAGCGUAAAAGUUUACUAAAAAUUAUAUGGAGUUGGAACGUUUGCCUAGGUUUGCUGCUAGGGGCGUUGUUCCAACUGCAUACAAAUUUUAGUUAACUUAUACGCUAUCCA
rnacentral:pre_miRNA from 9 species